UACGUAGGUGGCGAGCGUUAUCCGGAAUUAUUGGGCGUAAAGCGCGCGCAGGCGGUUCCUUAAGUCUGAUGUGAAAGCCCACGGCUCAACCGUGGAGGGUCAUUGGAAACUGGGGAACUUGAGUGCAGAAGAGAAGAGCGGAAUUCCACGUGUAGCGGUGAAAUGCGUAGAGAUGUGGAGGAACACCAGUGGCGAAGGCGGCUCUCUGGGACGGUACUGACGCUGAGACGCGAAAGCGUGGGGAGCGAACGGG
rnacentral:rRNA from 1 species